rnacentral:rRNA from 1 species
AACGAACGCUGGCGGCAUGCCUAACACAUGCAAGUCGAACGAGACCUUCGGGUCUAGUGGCGCACGGGUGCGUAACGCGUGGGAACCUGCCCUUAGGUUCGGAAUAACUCCCCGAAAGGGGUGCUAAUACCGGAUAAUGUCUUCGGACCAAAGAUUUAUCGCCUUUGGAUGGGCCCGCGUUGGAUUAGCUAGUUGGUAGGGUAAAAGCCUACCAAGGCGACGAUCCAUAGCUGGUCUGAGAGGAUGAUCAGCCACACUGGGACUGAGACACGGCCCAGACUCAUACGGGAGGCAGCAGUGGGGAAUAUUGGACAAUGGACAAGAGCCUGAUCCAGCAAUGCCGCGUGAGUGAUGAAGGCCUUAGGGUUGUAAAGCUCUUUUACCCGGGAUGAUAAUGACAGUACCGGGAGAAUAAGCGCCGGCUAACUCCGUG